UACGUAGGGCGCGAGCGUUGUCCGGAUUUAUUGGGCGUAAAGAGCUCGUAGGCGGUCUGUCGCGUCGGUCGUGAAAACUUGGGGCUUAACCCUGAGCUUGCGGUCGAUACGGGCAUGACUGGAGUUCGGCAGGGGAGACUGGAAUUCCUGGUGUAGCGGUGAAAUGCGCAGAUAUCAGGAGGAACACCGGUGGCGAAGGCGGCUUGCUGGGCCAGUUCUGACGCUGAGGAGCGAAAGCGUGGGGAGCGAACAGG
rnacentral:rRNA from 1 species